GCAUCGAUAUCGGACAAUGCAAAAGCUGAAGGAAGCUCGGCAAAUGACAAUUCAACACAUGAGUAAAGGAGGUAACGAAAAAUUCCCUUUGCAUUAAUUAAGUAUAUAUUACAGAGCCCUUGAGGCUGAAGAAGAAAGAUGACAAGACAAGCAAGCCGAUGCGGCGAUGACCAAGAACCUCUAGACGACAUCGGCAUCAAAAAGAAAAAGAAAAGCUACAACACCAACAAACAAACAAGCAGCAAAAGGAGACAUAUAGGAGGA
rnacentral:lncRNA from 1 species